AGUUAUCAGCACACAGAAGAGAUUAUGCUGCUUUUUCAUGGCUGAGAGAGAGAGAGUUGUAAUACAGAAAGCUGUUUCUGCAGAUUUCAACUCACAAAACAGUUUGUCAGUACACAUGACGUGUGCUAGUAUUGAUUUACCGCAAAAAGUUCUUGACAAUGUACCUGAUUACCUGUGGGCUAAAGACAAGUAUGAUGUGGGCUUGAUUAAAGGGUGUGAACCAGUAACUAUCACCCCAAAGAGUGAUUAUAGACCAUGUAAACCCCAAUAUCCUCUGAAAAGGGAGGCGCUUGAGGGGAUAAGGCCAGUAUUUUAGGCAUUAUUGGGAUAAUUAUUCCCUGCCCACACUCACCUGUGAGAACACCCAUUUUUCCUGUACAAAAGGUCAGGGAUGCAGGUCAGCCCACAGAGUGGAGGUUUGUUCAAGAUCUCCAAGCAGGAAAUGCUGCAGUACAAGCAAGGGCACCUCACGUGCCAAACCCUUACACAAUUCUCUCACAGAUACCAGCUGACGGCCAGUGGUUUUCUGUAGUGGAUAUUUCAAGUGCAUUCUUCAGAGUUCCUGUCCAUUCUAAUAGCCAGUUUUGGUUUGAUUUUACAUUUAAGGGGUACAGCGAGAGCCGCACUAUUUACAAACUCUGCAUUGCAUUGUUCAUUAAAGAAACUUGUGUUGGAUGAUGAUGUUGCUUUAUUGCAGUACGUGGAUGACCUCUUGGUGCCAGCACCGACUCAGCAAUCGUACACAGACAACACCAUACGGCUGCUUACUCAUCUAGCUAAGGAAGGUCAUAAGGUCAACCCCAAAAAGGUACAGUGCUCUGUCCAGAAAGUAACCUUUCUAGGACACGAAAUUACACCUAUGGGUAAGUCUCUCUCUCCAAAGAGAAUAGAGGCAAUAGCUAACAUACCAAAACCCAUUACAAAGAAACAGGUGAUGUCAUUCUUGGGUAUGACAUCUUAUUGUAGGACCUUUAUUGCUAACUAUUCUGAGAUGCAACAACCAUUGCAUGACAUGAUUUAUGAGAAACCUUUGGCACCAUCAGAGAAGGUAGAAUGGACAGAGAAGGCUGAAAGGGCAUUUGUGGAACUAAAACAGACAUUACAGCAGGCACCCACUUUAGGGUUGCCAGACCCAAAAAAAAAGCCUUUUAUUCAAACUGUGGAUGAAAGAAAUGGCUGUAUGACAUCUGUUUUGUUACAAGAACAUGGUGACAAGUUGAGACCAGUUGCAUAUUUUUCAGGACGCCUUGAUGCGGUGGCCAGGGGCCUACCAGGAUGUCUCAGGGCUUGAACAGCGCACAUCUCACUUGUCUGCAGCAAGAUGGCUGCGUUAUUCCUGUGCAUUGUUUCAGAUGUCUAAUGUCACAGUUGAAAGAUGUACAGUGCUAAACCCAGCGACAUUGUUACCUACACCUGAUGAAGGUACACCACAUUGUUGUUUGUCUGCCCUACGGGAAGUAUGCACACCAAGGCCUGACCUUGCUGACACACCCAUACCUAAAUGCACCCUCACAUAUUAUGUGGAUGGUUCCUCUUCCAGAGAUGACAGAGGCAUAGAUAGGAUGGGGUGGGCAGUUGUGUCUGACUUUGAAGUAGUGAAAUCCGGAUGCUUACCACCUCAGAAAUCUGCAAAGGUGGCUGAAUUGCAUGCACUAACACAAGCUUGUCAACUUGCUACUAAUCAAUCUAUAACCAUUUACAUUGACUGCUGAUUUUACUGACAGUUUCUCUCCUAUAACAAAUUUUACUCCUUUCUCAAAUAGCUGUGUGCAAAUGCAAAGCACACACCAAGGAACAGGACGUGAUCUCCAGAGGAAAUGCACGCACGGAUGCGGAAGCAUCUCUCAUGACUACUAACAAAAACGUUUCUCUUACACAGAUUUCCCAGGAAAAGGAAGCCGAAACACCACAGGAGUUACUAAUAAGCAUGCAAACAUUUUCUCUUCCAACAGAAAUAGCUCUAUGGAAAUCGUGUGGAGCAACCAAAACUCCUGAAGGGAUUUGGAUGGGUCCAAAUCAAAAACCUUGCUUACCUAAACAUUUUUAUUCCCAUUUUGCUAGGUUGACACAUGGGGACCACGGUGACAUGCGAUACUCUUCAAAAUGAAAAUGACAUGUUGCAAUAUUGUAUUUCUAUGUUCUCUGUAUUUCAAAAUAUCUCCAAAGCAGGUUAAAUCAGCCCUACCCCGUCCAGUAGAAGAACCAUUACACAACAUCAAACCAGGGGAUUACGUGGUGGUAAAGAACCUCAGGUGGAAAUCCUGGAAAGCCAGACGGUGGGAGGGGCCAUUUCAGGUUCUGCUGACGACUCACACCGCUGUGAAGGUCGCGGAGCGUGCCACCUGGGUGCACGUUGCCCAUUGCCGGAGGUUUGGUCCGGGACUGCAAGGUGUAAACCAAAGGGAGGACGGCUAGUCGACUGCUACGGACCACUUUUUCGUAUUGGUGGGAACCACAGAUACCUGUAUACUGCAAGUUUAUACGAAGAACGACACGAGAGAACUUCAACAGCUCACAAAGUAUUGGAGGACGACUCCAGUAUUCUGGGUUUGGUUUGGACACACGCACACGACAUCUUUAAUGAUAGCUUGGCACGACUGCACCGUGUGGUCCUACCAAACCCGAACCUACAAAGGAAAUUAAUCAACAAGGGCUCACGACCCCAACUCUAACUGUGCUCAGGGCUCACGACCCCAACUCUAACUGUGCUCAGGGCUCACGACCCCAACUCUAACUGUGCUCAAUCCGGAAUCAUCAAGGGCUCACGACCCCAACUCUAACUGUGCUCAAUUUCUUCAAGAAAACGAACUAUUUUUCUUCUUUCAAAAAUGAGAUUCAUGAUCAUACUAUGUGUGUGUGCAUUUUUACUUUUGCAACUGCACAGAACUAUAUGUACACUAUGGUUAAGGGUAAUAACCAGAGCUACGUAACGAUGACAGUAAAUGAAGUUAUGAAUAAAUCAUAAAAAGGGA